AAAAAAUAUUGACUGACUUUGGAUUUUUCUUUGGAAUAUGUAUUUUUUGGAUGGCCCUCCUUUUUGGUAGAUUUUGUUGGCACAUGUAUGAUUGUUUAGUUUUUAUUUUUUCUUGUGAUGCUUUUCUUUUUGGUUGAAAAACAGAUAGAUAUUUGGCUUAUAAAUUUUGUUUUAUGUAUUACUAUUUUAAAUUUUUUUUGGAUAUUUUUAUCGAAUUUUUUAUUGAAAUUGGAAAAGAAAGUAAUUUUUUUUUAAUGUGGUUGUGAAUUUAAUAAGUGAA
rnacentral:rRNA from 1 species